ACCCGCACAAGCGGUGGAUGAUGUGGAUUAAUUCGAUGCAACGCGAAAACCUUACCUACCCUUGACAUGUCCGGAAUCCCGAAGAGAUUUGGGAGUGCUCGCAAGAGAGCCGGAACACAGGUGCUGCAUGGCUGUCGUCAGCUCGUGUCGUGAGAUGUUGGGUUAAGUCCCGCAACGAGCGCAACCCUUGUCAUUAGUUGCCAUCAUUUGGUUGGGCACUCUAAUGAGACUGCCGGUGACAAACCGGAGGAAGGUGGGGAUGACGUCAAGUCCUCAUGGCCCUUAUGGGUAGGGCUUCACACGUCAUACAAUGGUCGGUACAGAGGGUUGCCAACCCGCGAGGGGGAGCUAAUCGCAAAAAGGUGGGCCCAGUUCGGAUUGGGGUCUGCAACCCGACCCCAUGAAGCCGGAAUCGCUAGUAAUCGCGGAUCAGCCAUGCCGCGGUGAAUACGUUCCCGGGCCUU
rnacentral:rRNA from 1 species